AUUGAACGCUGGCGGCAGGCUUAACACAUGCAAGUCGAGCGGAGUGAUGGUGCUUGCACUAUCACUUAGCGGCGGACGGGUGAGUAAUGCUUAGGAAUCUGCCUAUUAGUGGGGGACAACAUCUCGAAAGGGAUGCUAAUACCGCAUACGUCCUACGGGAGAAAGCAGGGGAUCACUUGUGACCUUGCACUAAUAGAUGAGCCUAAGUCGGACUAGCUAGUUGGUGGGGUAAAGGCCUACCAAGGCGACGAUCUGUAGCGGGUCUGAGAGGAUGAUCCGCCACACUGGGACUGAGACACGGCCCAGACUCUUACGGGAGGCAGCAGUGGGGAAUAUUGGACAAUGGGGGGAACCCUGAUCCAGCCAUGCCGCGUGUGUGAAGAAGGCCUUAUGGUUGUAAAGCACUUUAAGCGAGGAGGAGGCUCUUUUGGUUAAUACCCAAGAUGAGUGGACGUUACUCGCAGAAUAAGCACCGGCUAACUCUGUGCCAGCCGCCGCAGUAA
rnacentral:rRNA from 1 species